rnacentral:rRNA from 1 species
AGGAUGAACGCUGGCGGCGUGCUUAACACAUGCAAGUCGAACGAUGAAGCCGGAGCUUGCUCUGGUGGAUUAGUGGCGAACGGGUGAGUAACACGUGAGUAACCUGCCCUUGACUCUGGGAUAAGCACUGGAAACGGUGUCUAAUACCGGAUACGAACUUCGACGGCAUCGUCAGGAGUUGGAAAGAAUUUC